AGAAACUUAGGUUAAUACCAAACCAAGGGCCUUCAAAGCCCUAAAUAUGAGAAACCACCCUCCUAGUCUCUG
rnacentral:tRNA from 1 species